ACCUGGGAUAGCACAGUUGGUACAGCAUGAAACUUAAUCUCAGGGCCAUGGGUUCAAGCCACAUACUGGGUG